rnacentral:rRNA from 1 species
CACGUAGGGGCCAAGCGUUGUCCGGAUUUAUUGGGCGUAAAGAGCUCGUAGGCGGUUGGGUAAGUCGGGUGUGAAAUCUCCACGCUCAACGUGGAGGGGCCACCCGAUACUGCCAUGACUGGAGUCCGGUAGAGGAGUGUGGAAUUCCCGGUGUAGCGGUGAAAUGCGCAGAUAUCGGGAGGAACACCCGUAGCGAAGGCGGCACUCUGGGCCGGUACUGACGCUGAGACGCGAAAGCGUGGGGAGCGAACAGG